rnacentral:rRNA from 1 species
AUUGAACGCUGGCGGCAUGCCUUACACAUGCAAGUCGAACGGCAGCACGGGGCAACCUGGUGGCGAGUGGCGAACGGGUGAGUAAUGCAUCGGAACGUACCUUUCAGUGGGGGAUAACGUAGCGAAAGUUGCGCUAAUACCGCAUAUUCUGUGAGCAGGAAAGCAGGGGAUCGCAAGACCUUGCGCUGAUUGAGCGGCCGAUGUCAGAUUAGCUAGUUGGUGAGGUAAAGGCUCACCAAGGCGACGAUCUGUAGCGGGUCUGAGAGGAUGAUCCGCCACAAUGGAACUGAGACACGGUCCAGACUCCUACGGGAGGCAGCAGUGGGGAAUUUUGGACAAUGGGGGCAACCCUGAUCCAGCCAUGCCGCGUGAGUGAAGAAGGCCUUCGGGUUGUAAAGCUCUUUCGGCCGGGAAGAAAUCGCACGGGCUAAUACCCUGUGUGGAUGACGGUACCGGAAUAAGAAGCACCGGCUAACUACGUGCCAGCCGCCGCAGUAACAC